rnacentral:rRNA from 1 species
AACGCUAGCUACAGGCUUAACACAUGCAAGUCGCGGGGUAACGAGAGGGAAGCUUGCUUUCCUUGUCGACGACCGGCGCACGGGUGAGUAACGCGUAUCCAACCUGCCCAUUACCACGGGAUACCCCGUCGAAAGGCGGCCUAAUACCGUAUGCAGUCGUCAGAUGACAUCAGAGGACGACGAAAGGAUUGGCGGUAAUGGAUGGGGAUGCGUCUGAUUAGGUAGUUGGAGGGGUAACGGCCCACCAAGCCAUCGAUCAGUAGGGGUUCUGAGAGGAAGGUCCCCCACAUUGGAACUGAGACACGGUCCAAACUCCUACGGGAGGCAGCAGUGAGGAAUAUUGGUCAAUGGGCGCGAGCCUGAACCAGCCAAGUAGCGUGAGGGACGACGGCCCUAUGGGUUGUAAACCUCUUUUAUAAGGGAAUAAACCCUCCCACGUGUGGGAGCUUGUAUGUACCUUAUGAAUAAGCAUCGGCUAACUCCGUGCCAGCAGCCGCGGUAAUACGGAGGAUGCGAGCGUUAUCCGGAUUUAUUGGGUUUAAAGGGAGCGCAGACGGGUCGUUAAGUCAGCUGUGAAAGUUUGGGGCUCAACCUUAAAAUUGCAGUUGAUACUGGCGUCCUUGAGUGCGGUUGAGGUGUGCGGAAUUCGUGGUGUAGCGGUGAAAUGCUUAGAUAUCACGAAGAACUCCGAUUG